GUCCUGAUAGUAUAAACAUUACACUGGUCUUGUAAACCAGUAAUGAAAAAAAAUUUUUCUCAGGACA
rnacentral:tRNA from 1 species